rnacentral:rRNA from 1 species
UACAGAGGUCUCAAGCGUUGUUCGGACUCAUUGGGCGUAAAGGGUGUGUAGGUGGCGCGCUAAGUCGGGUGUGAAAUUUCGGAGCUUAACUCCGAAACUGCAUUCGAUACUGGCGUGCUUGAGGACUGGAGAGGAGACUGGAAUUCAUGGUGUAGCAGUGAAAUGCGUAGAGAUCAUGAGGAAGACCAGUGGCGAAGGCGGGUCUCUGGACAGUUCCUGACACUGAGACACGAAGGCCAGGGGAGCAAACGGG